AUGAGCAAGGGGGAUGGACAGAGUGUGGAAUCAGUACACUGUGCUCCUGAAACGGAUACUACACUGGAUAUGAGCUCACUGGACUCUAACUACAAACCUGAACUCAUCCCAAAGCGAACCGAUCUCUCCCACCCUGGGUCUCCCGCCGUCUGCUACUGCUCCCUCCAUCGCACAUGGCACCAACCUCAUCUCUCAAGAGCUCAGGUCAAAAGCCCUGGACUCACCCUUAGGUCCUCUCCUCUUUUCCCCUAUCUCAUUCUAGAAAUCUCGUUGGCUCCUUUCAAAAUCAAGACCCAGUAUCACUCCUCACCUCUUCCACUACUGUCAGAACAAAUCACCAUCAUCUCUCACGUGAACACUCUGAAAACUCUGGAACAGCUCUCCCUGCCCCUGACUGGAGUCUGUUCCCAACACAUGUGGCAGGAACCUUCACAUGAUCAGCUGCCAGAAAAAAAAAAAAAAAAAAAAAAGAAGGGGGGGGGAGCGCAGUGGGAGAAGCAGGCUUCCCACCCAGCAGGGACCUGGCUGAGGGGCUGGACUCCAGGGUCCUGGGAUCAUGACCUGGGCCCAUGACAGACACUUAACCUACUGAGCCACCCAGGCACCUCUUUACCAACAUUUUCAAGAGUCCUGUUUGAUUUCAGAUCACCAGCUGAGGCCAUCCUCAACCACACAAACCAGGUGCCAUUCCCACUAUUUCACUUAACCUACUCUGUGAAGGCUACCAAUCACUACCUAAGGAUUCAUUCAUUCAGCAAACACCUGUUAAGCGAUGAACGAAACAGACAAAAUCCCGCUCUCAUGGAGCUUCCAUUCUAAUGGGAAUGGAGAGGGAAACCGGGCAUAUGAGUAAAGGAGUGGCGGGAAUAAGUCUAAAUGAGUAAGGGGGACUUUCGAAGUGCCAAAUGUUGGAGUCUCCUGCUUCCCUCAUUAACAAAAUCCACCAAACCACACACAACAAAAGCUGGUGGUGGCUUCAGUAAAGCCAUUAGCACACUAGUGGCUUCUCCUUCAGUAAUCUAAACUAACAAAACAAGGCAUAAUCUAAAAAUCAUCUCCACCUAAUAAGGAAUUCGAUUUCCACUGGGAAGUUAUCGACUUAGGCUGACGGGAGUGUUUGCGUUAGUGAGAAUGAGGGCGGCCGCUGGGGCCGCUGGAACCUGCUGGAAGGGCCAGGAGCUCCUGCUGGCAGCUCUCGCGGCUCUCGGUCCUCUCGCUGCACAGACCCAGGCUCCUGUCUCCUAGAAAGGAAAAUGGCAGCUGCGGACUAUGUCUUUGCAGAGCUGGAGAGAAACCUGAGAUAUCAGCAGUCCUCGCAAAGCUUUCCUUGACCUCCUCAAGGAGGCUUAAGCACUUCUGCCUCCUCAAGCCUAGAUGCCAGGAAUGAUGUUCUGACUCAGUCUGUAUCCUCGGAACCUCUCUGAAGUCUGGCCCAGGAGUUUAACUGGACUUUUCAUUGAUAAAAGUACUGUUUUAGACAGAUUAUUCUGUUAUACACUGUGUGUUCACUAAAUUGAAUUUAAGUAAGAUUAAAAAAGAAUGUUCUGAUACAAUAAAACAAAGAUUCCAAGUCUGAGAUGUGUUAACUGCUGUGAAAUCAUGUGCAUUGGGGAUAAGCACACUGCUCUCUGUCGGGGCAGAGGGGACAGGACCCAUUCGUACUCAAGAAAUACUGACUAGGGUCGUACUCUGUGGAAGGUUAUGUGAGAGGACAUGAACACAGGAAGACGGACAUGGGUCCGGACCACCACAGAGGGUUUUUCCAAGGGGAAAACCCAUAAUAAAGAAAAUAAAUAAUAAUUUUAGACAGCAAUAAGUUCUAAGAUGGAAAUUUACAGGGGUGAUGUAUGUUGACAUUCUGUUGCUUUCACGAGACACUCCAAGGCCUCUGACUACUUUACUUAGGAUGUACUGCAAGGGAAAGACAGGACCUUCGGUAGAUAUUGUAGGAAUACAGGUAGGGGACUGGAUAUUCAAUUCAAAUCGGUUAGCUUUUAAUAAAUACCAUAAUGCCUUGAGGCAUUAUGUGCCGCGAGGCGAGCAUUAUUAGAAUAAAAUUUAAUGAGGGAGAGAUGUAUACAUGAUCAUCUUGACGAGACAAUGCAUGAGGUUUACAGAAUCACAGAGAAGAGCAGUGAGCUGACCUAAGGCGUUAGGAAGUGUCCUAAAAGGAAGAAAAAAAAAACCUACAACAAUAAUAAUAAAAUGCAAAUUAAUGUACAUAUUUUGAAGGAAGAACUACCAGGACAAGACAAACAGCAUGUGCAGAGGAGACUAAAGGAAGAGGAAGACAGAAACCUUUCCAGCCCAGCAAUUUGAAGAAACAUGGCGAUCUGUCAGUAAAGGAAACCUGAAGGGGAAUCAGUGUUAACAAAAGAGAAGACAAGCUCAGUUUUGAAGAUCCAAAUUCACAAAGACACAGGAUAUCCAUGAGAACUUUCAGCUUGGGGCAGGUGCGUGGCUAGGCUGGUUAAGCAACUGACUCUUGGUUUCAACUCAGGUCAUGAUCCUGGGGUCCGAGGACCAAGCCCCACAUUGGGCUCCCUGCUCAGCAGGGAAUCCAACUUCUCCAUCUCCUCGGCUCCUCUCUCCACACUCGCACUCUCCUCUCUCUC
rnacentral:lncRNA from 1 species